UUGAAAGUUCACCCAAAUAAAAGGGAAAUGCUCCAAAUGACCUGAAUAGUUGAUGUUACGAUUUUUUCAUGAUAAAAGCAGAGAAAAUUGACUAAUUAAAUAUCUUCUCCUAUAUCAUCCUUUUCUGGAAUCAAUCACUUUCAGUUCACAAGAAUACAAGUUAGUCAAAAAAUGCUUGCCUCACUACUAUUAGAUAAGUACUUGUAAGUUGUAACUACAUGAUCUAGUUUAUGAGGUUACUUCAAUAAAUCUAGUAGAAAAUUCGACACACAAAUAUAUUUCAAAGAAAAAAUAAACUUGUUAAUUAGCAGGUCAUGGCUCAGCCAUUUGAAAUUCUUUUCCUGCUUCCAUUUUUCCUCUUACCCUUAUCUUUUUUCCUCUUCAAAGUUUUCAGAUCAUCAAACAUCACAAAACUUCCACCAGGACCAACACCAUGGCCAGUCAUAGGAAAUAUUUUUCAUAUGGGAAAAAUGCCUCACAUAACUCUGACAAAUUUUGCAAAAACUUAUGGCCCCAUUAUGUCACUAAAGCUUGGAACUAAAUGGCUAGUUGUUGGAUCAUCACCUUCUGCUGCUAUAGAAAUACUCAAAACCCAUGAUAGAAUUCUGUCAGGGAGAAAUGUUCCAAAUGCUGUUCCAUCAAAAAGAUCAGAUCUUGACAAGAUAUCAAUGGGCUGGGCUUCUGAAUGUCAUAAUGAAUGGAGAUACUUGAGGACUUUAUGCAGAACUGAGCUUUUCGCUGGAAAAGUAUUGGAGUCUCAAGCUUGUCUGAGGGAGAAAAAAGUGAUGGAAUUGGUUGAAUUCUUGAAGUCAAAAGAAGGUCAAGUGGUGAAUAUUGGAGAACUAGUCUUUGCAACUAUGUUGAACAUGCUGAGUAAUGUUCUGAUAUCUAAAGAUAUGAUUAAUUUGGAGAAAGAAACAGAAGAUAGUGGGAUUAGAAAUCUGGUAAGGGGAUUAGUGGAAGCGAUCUCUGCUCCAAAUAUAUCUGAUUUUUAUCCUAUUUUAGGUAAGUUAGAUCUUCAAGGUCUGCGAGAAAAAGCUAGAUAUGUAAUGACAGAGAUUCGUUCCAACUGGGAAUCGAUUCUUGAAGAAAGAAGGAACAAUAAAGAGAGUGGUUCUUCUAGGCAACAUGACUUCUUGGAAGCUCUACUUGAUAAUGGUUUUACGAAUGAUUGUAUCCACCAGCUAUUUGUGGAGUUACUCUCUGCUGGUUCAGACACCAGUACCUCAACAAUUGAGUGGGCGAUGGCUGAACUGAUAAAAAAUGUAGAGUCCAUGAAGAAAGUUCAAGAUGAGCUCGAGAUAGAACUCAGUGAAAGUGAUUACCCAAAAGAAUCUCUAUUGCUGCAGCUGUCCUAUGUCCAAGCCUGUGUGAAGGAAACACUUAGGUUGCACCCUCCAGCACCAUUGUUGCUUCCACAUAGUGCUAUCGAAACCUGCCAAGUGAUGAGUUACACAAUUCCUAAAGACGCUCAAAUCUUGGUUAACGUCUGGGCUAUUUCAAGGGAUCCUUUGAUAUGGGAAGAUCCAGAGAUGUUUAGACCACAGAGGUUUCUGAGUUCUGAUAUGGAUUUCAAAGGGAAUGACUUUGAGUUCUUACCCUUCGGUGCAGGAAGGAGAAUAUGCCCAGGACUGCCAAUGGCUGCAAUAAAAAUUCCCUUACUCCUUGCUUCACUUGUUCAUUUCUUUGAUUGGGAACUUCCUCAUGGUAAAUGUCUCGCCGAGCUAGACAUGACUGAAAAGUUUGGAGUAACACUGCAAAAGAAAGAACCACUGCUUCUGAUUCCCAGGGUCAGAAAAUGACCAUUGAAUUCUGACAGGGAGAGAUGUUCCAGAUGCUGUUCCAUCAAAAGGAUCAGAUCUUGAGAAGACAUCAUUGGCCUGGAAAUCUGAGUGGAUGGAAAUACUUGAGGACUUUAUGCAGAACUGAACUUUUCUCAGGCAUUAGUAACAAAACUUUGUUCCAAUUGGGAACCCAUUCUUGAAGAAAGAAGGAACAGUAGAGACAAUGGUUCUUCUAGCCAACAAGAUUACUUGGAAACUCUCCUUGAUAAUGGUUUUACCAAUAGUCAUAUCCACCAGCUAUAUAUGGGUUGUUUCCUCUCCUUCUCUCAGAAUUUGAUUUGAGUUACUCGCUGCCGGUUCAGUCACCAGUACCUCAACAAUCGAGUGCGCAAUGGCAGAACUGAUAAAAAAUGUAGAGUCA